CAUGUCUUCAGCCGAAACCUUUAAGUCUCGGCAACUUCCUCUGAGGAUGCUGAAGCAAACACUGUCCAGACCUGCAAGUGAACAAGUUACAAAUGACAUCUCUGGUUUGAAAUGCCUCAGUUGCUGCUGGGCCAUCUCUCUGUCUGCUGAGUAUCAUCUCUGGUGUUUAUUUAACCACCCUUGCCCUACUAGGUGAGAGCCACCAUCCUUGAACUGAUGGCUGUGAGUUCUUCCCUCCUCCCAAGAGACAAAUAGGCAUAUUUGUGGGUACCUGUAUGUGGUUCAGACAGAAGUUCCAGAAAAUGUUCCUUUCUCCCUUCUGGCAACCUCCCUGCCUUGCUCCCCCUUCUUUAUCCUGCCUUUAUGCCAUGUACAGCAUAUGGCAUGUGCUUUGGGAGAUAUGCAAGGCCAGGCAUGGGCUUUGGAUGCUUUUAUUGUGCAAUGGUGAGUGCUCUCUUCUCCCAUAUCCUCUUUGCUGAUGUGCAGUGUGCUGGUAGUCACGUCCUUGAUAAGAAUGGCUUUCUUGCUAAGACCCUCAUCUGUAAUCAUAGCCCAGCAUCUUAAAGCCAGCAAUAAACCAUUUUUCCCUGCUGAUAGCAGCCCUCAGCCCGCCCUGGACCUUGCUGAAGAUCUGUGAAUGGCUAGAGAAUAACAGACCAGUGGAUGGAGGAUGUUGCAGAGCAAAGGUUGUCUAUGAAGAUGAUGUGACUAUGGAUUUGCUCUGUAGAGCGUGCAGGGUGAAAUGAAUUCUGUUUAUUUGAUUGCUAACUUCUACCACAGAAGAAUUUUCACACUCAACCCCUAGCAAUGUCCUUGGCUAAUGUGACCUGUACUUAGCAGCAGGACCCAAACCCCACUAUGAUCCUGACUCUGUACUGACCCAUACAACACACCUGGCCCAUAUAUGCACAAGCAUGUAUUAUAGUGCUAGGGAACUGUAUCAUCUUUCUAUCAUUCUAGUUUCUCAGUCCUAAGAUUUACUCCCUAUUCCUGGCAUUUUCUCUACCUUCCACUGCCUACCCAUGGCAAUCUUUCACCCCAAGCUUAAGGCUGAGCACAUCCACCAUCCCUACAAACUUCAUGGAAAGCCACUUGAUGUGACUGGCUCAAGUGCUUUUGCAGCUGUAUCUCAUAAUGACAAGAACUGGGUACCAGGCCUUAUAAUUUCUCCACAAUCCUCACAUUAUUCAGGAAUAAUCCUACGCUUUAGGCUCUUUUUACCCCACAGCCUGAUUCCAACCUUAAGCAUAAGCUAUCAGCCAGCACUCCUUGAAACACAAGCAGAAGCAUUCUGCUUUACUGAGUACCAGCACUCAGGCUUGCCCUGAGGAGGAAAGAGGUGGUGCUCUUUAGUCCUCAGUGUCCCAAUCCCUCACCUUGACUUUAGUGUCUGAAGACCUGAUGCUCCUUAUCUCUGUACCUCUGAGUUCCAGAGCCACUCACCCCUGCCAGCCCCAGCCACGUGUUUCUAAGGUAUUUGCUAGAGUCCAGGCAUGGGGAUGGAGGCAUCCACUGGGACUUGCUGGGUUUAGGGGCUGGAAGUUGUGUUUGUCAGAAGUUGUGCUUGGUGGGGCAGGGCACGUAUUGUGGAGUUUAGGGUGGAAAGAUUAUGGUUGGGCACAGCUUGAAGGAUCAACUGGCUUACUCCAGCUGCUGAGGGGAUGGUAGGCUGGGUGCAACCUAGAGCAUGGGGCGAGGGGGAGCGUGACAGUGUCUGUACAUCAGACAGACACUGAUGGUGUGUUCCACUGAUCACUCUCCUUUCUUAAGAAAGGCUUCUUUGCUCCUGCCUGCCUACAUCUCACUAUGAGCUUUACUUUGCACUCUUAAGGUCACAACUUCUUUUUUUCAAAAAAAAAAAAAAUGUCCUGUAAUCAAGACCUGUGAAGUGUGCUGAGAUCAGCCUGCUGCCUCAUUCUUUGCACUCUCAUGGAUGGGCAGCUUUCUUGUGUGUCAAGUGAAAACUUCCUCACCCAACCCCGUAGUGCUGGACUCACCCUGAGCCAAGCCAGGUCUCCUCCCACGUCGCUCACGUUAGGCAGCCUCACCCCAUCUCUUACAGGAAUACCCAACCUACGCAACGUGUGCCUCACCGAGGCUCUCUUGUUUGCAGACACCUCCUGAAACACAACACGUGUGCAUUUUUAUGGCCAAUUUGGACAACGUCAUCGCUCCAGAUGGUAACUGCAACUUCUAGAUAAGACCCGACGUGUGACAACCUAAGAAACACCAAACUGAGGAGGAAGGAAGGAAUCGUCCGUUUUCAAACGCCAGCAUGGCUACAUAUACUGACACUGUUGCACAAACACAAACAAUUUUAACUGGAACAGUUGCUUCUUGGUAGUUGUUCCAUUACCUGUAAUUGAUUAUGCCAGAGCUUGCAGCCUCUAUGAUCAGAAAGCGACUUCCUCUGUGUGCUUUCGAAUCAGAUUAAUAAAGGGAAACAAUAUUUCUACUGA